UACGUAGGGUGCGAGCGUUGUCCGGAAUUAUUGGGCGUAAAGAGCUCGUUAGGCGGUUUGUCGCGUCUGCUGAUGAAAACCCGAGGCUCAACCUCGGGCUUGCAGUGGGUACGGGCAGACUAGAGUGCGGUAGGGGUGACUGGAAUUCCUGGUGUAGCGGUGGAAUGCGCAGAUAUCAGGAGGAACACCGAUGGCGAAGGCAGGUCACUGGGCCGCAACUGACGCUGAGGAGCGAAAGCAUGGGGAGCGAACAGG
rnacentral:rRNA from 1 species